UGAUGGCAUGAGUGAAGUUGUUGGACUUGAUGAAAUCUUCGUCUGGGUUCUCCUUGUAUACAACUUCUGUACUUGGGUAGACAGCAGAUUUCACAGCAUCCAGAAUUGUUGUUCCUGCUCAAUGUAGAAAAAAAAGUGAUACUCACGGCAACACAAGGAGAAAAGACGUAUGGAAUCCCUGUAGCUCUAACUUCCAGUGCAGUUGCAGCACCAAUCCUCCUAAUAAGGCAACCAGGCAGCAACUAAGGCAUCGAUGGAGUCCAUGUAAGGCUCAAUGACAAUGGGGCGGCCAGAGAUAACAACGACAACACACUUGAUGGACUUGCAGACAUUGCUGAUA